rnacentral:rRNA from 1 species
CUACAGGGGUAUCUAAUCCUGUUUGCUCCCCACGCUUUCGUGCAUGAGCGUCAGUGCAGGCCCAGGGGAUUGCCUUCGCCAUCGGUGUUCCUCCGCAUAUCUACGCAUUUCACUGCUACACGCGGAAUUCCAUCCCCCUCUGCCGCACUCUAGCCUUGCAGUCACAAUGGCAGUUCCCAGGUUGAGCCCGGGGAUUUCACCACUGUCUUACAAAACCGCCUGCGCACGCUUUACGCCCAGUAAUUCCGAUUAACGCUUGCACCCUACGUAUUACCGCGGCUGCUGGCAC